GACGAACGCUGGCGGCGUGCUUAACACAUGCAAGUCGAACGGAAAGGCCCUGCUUUUGUGGGGUGCUCGAGUGGCGAACGGGUGAGUAACACGUGAGUAACCUGCCCUUGACUUUGGGGUAACUUCAGGAAACUGGGGCUAAUACCGGAUAGGAGCUCCUGCUGCAUGGGGGGGGUUGGAAAGUUUCGGCGGUUGGGGAUGGACUCGCGGCUUAUCAGCUUGUUGGUGGAGUAGUGGCUUACCAAGGCUUUGACGGGUAGCCGGCCUGAGAGGGUGACCGGCCACAUUGGGACUGCGAUACGCACCAGACUCCUACGGGAGGCAGCAGUGGGGAAUAUUGCACAAUGGGGGGAAGCCCGAGGCAGCAACGCCGCGUGCGGGAUGACGGUCUUCGGGGUGUAAACCGCUUUCGCCUGUGACGAAGCGUGAGUGACGGUAAUGGGUAAAGAAGCACCGGCUAACUACGUG
rnacentral:rRNA from 1 species